CAAAUACUCCCUCCAUCCGGAAAUACCUGUCAUCAAAAUGGAUAAAAGGGGAUGUAUCUAGAUGUAUUUUAGUUCUAGAUACAUCUUUUUUUAUCCAUUUUGAUGACAAGUAUUUUCGGACGGAGGGAGUACUUA
rnacentral:pre_miRNA from 1 species